CUAAGGAAUAUUACGGAAAUCCCACACAUUCGUUUUUACUUUGUUCAGUUUUGAGAGGUCUAACUCUCAAAUUGGUACUUAUAAAUAGUCUUUUAGAGUCCUAAUUUCCUGGGCCUAUAGCUCAGCUGGUUAGAGCGCACGCCUGAUAAGCGUGAGGUCGAUGGUUCGAGUCCAUUUAGGCCCAUUGGAUUAUUUAUUUUUAAUUAAAUACCCUUAAUAAGGGGCCUUAGCUCAGCUGGGAGAGCGCCUGCCUUGCACGCAGGAGGUCAGCGGUUCGAUCCCGCUAGGCUCCAUUGUAAUCUGAUUGCAGAUUACAGAAUUUGUUCUUUGAAAACUGGAUACUGUUUAAAAAGUAAUUAAAGUAAGAAACCGAGAAAACACCGCGUUUUAAAUGAGUUUUUUAAUUAGUUCUUAUCGUAAGAUAAUGAAUAAAAUCAUUGACUAACAUCAUGAGAUUCCUUCGGGAAUACCAUCGAUAAAAAUUUUGUGCUAAUGCGAAGCAAUUCGAGGAAAUGAGUGUUUGAGAAACGGAGCGUACUAGCGUACGUGAGUAUCACAAAACACGAAAUUAACGAAGAAGUGUGAAGUAGUAGUGCCAAAAUUA
rnacentral:tRNA from 1 species